GGAAAUUGGCUUCAUCAAGUAUCGUUAAGAAGAAUGUUGCAGCAAAUAAAGAAUGGCUGAUGGGAAUAUGUUGGUUUUUGGUCUAUAUUUAGUUUUGCGAACUGCUGUUAUUAAUGAGUAAAACAGAUGCUACUUGUCUGUGUUGGUUCUUAAUGCAUCUGUAGUACCUUUAUGUGAUGUAUGCACUGUUCUUAUGUUUUAAAUUGAUUAAGUAUGAGC
rnacentral:misc_RNA from 1 species